UUCUGACCCAUUAAUUGACGAUACUCCCAGUGCUGCCCUCUGAAAGAAAAAGGAAAACAGCAGCACCAGAAAGGAGGAUUUGCAGCCAAAACCUUGGUUGAGCCCCUUUCUCCAAGGUAGGAAAGAAAUUGGCUUCUCCAAGCUCUGUGUUUGGAAAUGGGCAUGAAUGGAUAAGGCUAAGUGUAUAAGGCAUCUGUGAUGGUAUUCUCCUCUUUGAAGCUUCAAGCCUUGUCACUCCUGUCCAGUUGUCUUUGGAGAAAAAAAGCAACAACAAAAUCAGUCAAUUAGGAAGACUGUUCAUUCCAGAACUUUGGACUCGCAUAGACUAGCUUAAUCUUGGAAGUUUAGCAUAAUUAUCUCUUUGGAUCAUUCCCCCACCUAAGGAUUCCCCUAGUGAUAUCAGAAUUUGGCUAAUUUUACACUCAUAUGAGGAUCUGCAAUUCCUUUGUCUCAGCUUAAUUCUUAAUAAAUCCAACACAAGAUCAAUGAAUUGAAGUGAUGGCGGUGAAUGCUUUAUGAUGUCAACUCUCAUAAAAUGGGAACAGAUUGUUUCCACAGCAAACAUCUAGCAAAUACAAGUCCAGUGCCAGAAGUUGGAAGUGCUAAAGGACACAGAAAAGAUAAAAUUCAGGGAGGGAAUGAAUGAAUCACUGCUCAACUUGUUGCAGUUCCUGUCUGGAGCAAAGUGGCAGCAGAAGAGUGGAGAAUGCUGAUUUUUUUUUUGAAAAGUCCUACAGAAGCUCAACAACUCCCUCAUGCCAAAAGGAUCCAGAGUCACUAAGUCUCAUGGCAAGACAAAAGCCAAGAUGACUGGCAAUGGAUCGGGAUGCAGUAGAAGAUAUUGGCAUCAGUCAACUUAGACUGACUUCAAAACCCAGCCCCCCAGAGAACUCUGUGCCCAGAAUAAAAACAUAGAGGUCUUACCCCAGAAGCAUACAAUGGGCACGUCCUCAAGGAUUCUAACAAUUCCCUGCAUGUUGCCUGUGUAGUCCCUGCCUCUGGAGUUCAUCUUUCAUAAGUACUUUGGAAAGAGCUAAACAACUCUCCGGGUCAGUGCUGGAUUGAAGGAGCUACAUAUCAACUUGAAUCAAACUGAUUAUAGUUCCUCUGAACCUAAUUGGCAAAACCUAACUGCAUUCAUGUUUUAUUAAAAGCAACUUUCAUUA